rnacentral:tRNA from 1 species
UGAAGUAUGCCGGAAUCGGUAGACGGGGCUUCCUAAAGGGCGUAAGGGGAACAUCCACUCCUCAUAAGAUACCCGAAAACGAGGCUGAGAUAAAUGGUCUAUCUCGUGAAGGUUCAAGUCCUUCUGCUUCUUGAU